rnacentral:rRNA from 1 species
AAAUUGAAGAGUUUGAUCAUGGCUCAGAUUGAACGCUGGCGGCAGGCCUAACACAUGCAAGUCGAACGGUAACAGGAAGCAGCUUGCUGCUUCGCUGACGAGUGGCGGACGGGUGAGUAAUGUCUGGGAAACUGCCUGAUGGAGGGGGAUAACUACUGGAAACGGUGGCUAAUACCGCAUAACGUCGCAAGACCAAAGAGGGGGACCUUCGGGCCUCUUGCCAUCAGAUGUGCCCAGAUGGGAUUAGCUAGUUGGUGAGGUAACGGCUCACC